GGGUCCUGUUGGGCCCCGCGUCCUGGGUGCUGUCCCUUCCCACAGGCGCCUCGUUAAUGCCGAAGUCUCCUGUCUGCGCGGUAGGUCUGGCGACUUCAGGCUGCAGGGUGCAUCUGUAGAGCAGACACUUGCGAGCAAGGAGGAGCAGGAAAGUUGCCUGGAUUUCUGGAGGCCUGCUUUAAGGCUGAUCACCUCUGCAGGGAAGGAAAGGAGGAAGAGACUGGUUCAAAUCUCUGGAGGAUGGCCUGCUGUCUGCUAUAGGGCUUAAUUCCACUGGAACAAAGCAAGGAGGGGAAAUUGCACCCCAUCAGUGC